AAAUUGAAGAGUUUGAUCAUGGCUCAGAUUGAACGCUGGCGGCAGGCCUAACACAUGCAAGUCGAACGGUAACAGGAAGCAGCUUGCUGCUUUGCUGACGAGUGGCGGACGGGUGAGUAAUGUCUGGGAAACUGCCUGAUGGAGGGGGAUAACUACUGGAAACGGUGGCUAAUACCGCAUAACGUCGCAAGACCAAAGAGGGGGACCUUCGGGCCUCUUGCCAUCAGAUGUGCCCAGAUGGGAUUAGCUAGUUGGUGAGGUAACGGCUCACCAAGGCGACGAUCCCUAGCUGGUCUGAGAGGAUGACCAGCCACACUGGAACUGAGACACGGUCCAGACUCCUACGGGAGGCAGCAGUGGGGAAUAUUGCACAAUGGGCGCAAGCCUGAUGCAGCCAUGCCGCGUGUAUGAAGAAGGCCUUAGGGUUGUAAAGUACUUUCAGCGGGGAGGAAGGUGUUGCGGUUAAUAACCGCAGCAAUUGACGUUACCCGCAGAAGAAGCACCGGCUAACUCCGUGCCAGCAGCCGCGGUAAUACGGAGGGUGCAAGCGUUAAUCGGAAUUACUGGGCGUAAAGCGCACGCAGGCGGUCUGUCAAGUCGGAUG
rnacentral:rRNA from 1 species